UCACAGGUUUUUUUUAAAACCCCUAUAAUAAAUUGUAACAAAAAUG
rfam:Thelazia callipaeda genome assembly, scaffold: TCLT_scaffold0000491